AGCGAACGCUGGCGGCAGGCUUAACACAUGCAAGUCGAGCGCCCCGCAAGGGGAGCGGCAGACGGGUGAGUAACACGUGGGAACGUGCCUUUUGGUUCGGAACAACCCAGGGAAACUUGGGCUAAUACCGGAUAAGCCCUAACGGGGAAAGAUUUAUCGCCAAAAGAUCGGCCCGCGUCUGAUUAGCUAGUUGGUGGGGUAAUGGCCCACCAAGGCUACGAUCAGUAGCUGGUCUGAGAGGAUGAUCAGCCACAUUGGGACUGAGACACGGCCCAAACACCUACGGGAGGCAGCAGUGGGGAAUAUUGGACAAUGGGGGCAACCCUGAUCCAGCCAUGCCGCGUGAGUGAUGAAGGCCUUAGGGUUGUAAAGCUCUUUUAGCGGGGAAGAUAAUGACGGUACCCGCAGAAAAAGCCCCGGCUAACUUCGUGCCAGCAGCCGCCGUAA
rnacentral:rRNA from 1 species